rnacentral:lncRNA from 1 species
UGGCUGCGACAGGGACAGAUGAUGCUGUUCCUCUGAAAGCCGAUGUGCAUGGCUGGGGCGUGCCGUGGUUUCUGCCUCAACAGCUGGAUCGCAUCCUCAUUCUUACUGCUCACUAACGCUGUUCCAAAAUCAGCUGCACCAAGCGCUUGUACAUUCAAUUUAAGGUUUUUCAUUCUCCUUAUAGAAAGUCGCACCCAAUAGUGCAUCGCAGGAGGUGGUGUUGGGCUGGUUUCCAUACAGACCUGCAGUGCUAGAUGCUGAGGAAGAAAGUGGGGAGGAAAGGCUUGCUCCUCUCAGCAGCACCACCCAGGUGCAUUGUAGCGUGAGGAAUAACUUUGCAGUGCCUCCAGUGCAGAAGAGGAGAUGGCGGUGGGGGCGUGAGCUUGCUUCUCCAGUCUGGUGCUUGCUGUGAUUUCACGUUCUCAUGAAGAUACAGAUUCCUUCAGAAAAGUAACAGAUGUUGGCUUUGUGUGCAGUGCAUACAAACCCGUGUCUUCAGGAGGAGAACUGCAGGCUGGAAAGCAGAGCACUGGCAGUUGCUGCCGCUGUCUCUGCUGAAACUUGCAGAAUGAAGGAGCAAGGAGUUGCCAUGAGUGGAAGGAAUUUGUUUGUACAUUUCUUCUGCUAAGGGGAAAACUGUGACCGUCCACAGCCAAGCUGCUGUUAGCAUUUCCCUUUGCAUGACACUGUUCUGAAAGCUCUUGACUCGAGAAAAAAAAAUAUGCAAAAGGUUAGGUUUUCUUUAUACUUAUAGAGCCUUUCAUCCCCCAGUGACUGAAUUUAUUUCAUCCAUAAAACAAGAGUCUCAAAGGAUCCCACUCGUCUGUACAUGGGAUGGGUUGAUUUGUAUUCUGCUGCUGUUUUCUGUAAGAUAACAAAUACAGGAGGAGAACAUCAAUCCUGAUAAUUUUUUUUCUUUCUUUAUCUACCCUCCCAUUCUCUGUUGUGCCACGACUGCUAAUAGCAUUCUGUUUUAGUGGUGGUUGUAAUGAGAUACGGAUGCUGAAUAUUGUCUUUUUG